rnacentral:tRNA from 1 species
AGCUCAGUAGUAGAGCACUUGCCUAGCAUGCAUGAGGCCCAGGUUCAAUCCCCGG